rnacentral:tRNA from 1 species
UGGAAAGAUGGUUGAGUGGUUUAAGGCGUAGCAUUGGAAAUGCUAUGUAGGCUUUUGGUCUAUCGAGGGUUCGAAUCCCUCUCUUUCCGA